GUUCAAUUGUCAUUUAUCAGUGGAUGAAAUUGCAUUUGUAUUUUAUUCCACUUUCGUUUGUGCUGCUCGCGAUUUUUCUUUUUUCUUUGUGUUGUGAUUUUUAAGUUAUCGUAUUGUUAUCAUUUUUUAUUUCGAAAUCUGGUAGGACUGUUGCGAAAAUAGGCAAAGCAGAAUGACAACAAAUUCCAAUUUCCAACUGUAAAAUGCAUAAGUGAUGAUUAGGAAGCAAAGAAGUGACUGAAAUAAUUUGACUUUUGUUCCUAUUUGAGCAUAUUUAAUUUUGUAUCAGAAACAAUUUAUUAUGCCUAAAAGUAAAAUUAGCACACAUUUUGCUAAAGUAAAUAUUUGUCAUAAGUUAAGAGACUGUUGAAGCUGUUUCGGUGAUAGCGGAUCUGUAUUUCAAUUCCAACAAGUGCAUCGCCUACAUAACUACCCGUCUGCAAAAUAUACAAUAUUGUUGAUCUGCCUUUGUAAUCUCUACUAGCCACACCUCAACUUUCAAAAAGUAUAAUUUUAAAUUGAACAACAUGGUGGAUCGUCUAGUAAAUUCUGAAGCUAAUUCAAGGCGAAUUGCUAUGGUCGAAAGCUGCUUUGGCAGCUCUGGUGUACCUUUAGCAAUUCCAGGACGCGUGCUUGUUGGCGAAGGUGUCUUAACUAAGAUGUGUCGCAAGCGGCCAAAGUCUCGACAGUUUUUCCUUUUCAACGAUAUAUUGGUAUAUGGUAAUAUUGUAAUUGGAAAAAAAAAAUAUAAUAAACAGCACAUUAUGCCAUUGGAAGAGGUAUCAUUGGAAUCUCUCGAGGAUAAUGGACAAUAUCGUAAUGGUUGGUUGAUACGUACCACAACAAAAUCGUUUGUUGUUUACGCCGCUACAAGUACUGAAAAACAAGAAUGGAUGGCACAUAUCAACAAGUGUGUGGAAGAUUUACUACGAAAGAGCGGAAAAAAACCUGUGGAAAAUCAUGCUGCUGUUUGGGUACCAGACGCCGAAGCCACCCACUGUAUGAAUUGCAAGAAGACACAAUUUACGAUGAUAGUUCGACGUCAUCAUUGUCGCAACUGCGGAGCAGUUGUAUGCGGACCGUGCUCAUCUAAGAAAUUUUUACUGCCUCAACAAAGCUCCAAACCUGUACGUGUUUGUACCGCUUGUUAUGAACGUCUUUCUAAAGCGGUUAAAGCGGAAUCGUCCAAAACGAACCUUACAAAUGCUGGUGCAAAUUUAACAACACCAUCUUCCGCGAAUAUUGAUGGCAAUGGUAAUGGCACAGGAAAAUUGGUUGACAGUUCGGGUGAUGAUGAUUCGGAGGAAGAAGGCACUGCAGCAGCCAACGAAUUGCACGAUGAACCACGUUUCUACGGUGAUACAACAUUGUCGGCUGAUGAAUCUACGUCAUCUGCGGCGCUUAAUUCGAGUCACACACCUAGUGUUAAUAACUGAUGUGCGCAGUCUACAUUUUUAGAGGGCGGGUUAUUGGACGCAGGUGGUGACGAACGCGGGAAUAUAUACAGUCGAACUGUUACAAGAAGGAAAGGGUGUGACGAUAUGCAGCGAAAUAAAAAUAAACAAAAUUAUAAAAUUAAACAACGACAGCAAGAAGAAAAAAGUGAAGUAAAUCAACCAGAACAUCAACCAGACGAACGUGGAAAGAAGGUGUGGCAUUGCGUCUGGAAAAGAAAAGGAUUAACAAAGUUUUUUGAUCUUCAAAAGGGAGGAGGAAGAACGUAAGCGGCGUGAAGAACAACGCAUCAAGGAGUUGCGAAAGCUCACAACGUUCAAAGCACGACCAAAUCCUUUUAAAUAGACUCUUCUAAAACACCAAUAAUGCAUAGUAACAAAUAUGAUUUAAACACGCCACACAAUAGUACAUAGCAACAUAAAAUCAAUUUAAACAGCAAUAAAAUGAGAACGAUGCAUACUUAAUUAACACUUUCAACAAAAUAAUAAGAACUAUAAAUAAUAUAAAAUAACGGAGAAUAUGUAUGAGAACACCAUUUUUAUAUAUGAAAAUGAAAUAACGUAACGUUUUAUUAUCAUUAUUAAUUACUACAAUUAUUAUAUUAGCCUUUUUUCUUACUUGUAAUAAUUUUUGGGAAUACACAUAUUAUAUACACACACAUACAUAUUCAUAUGCAUAUUAAUAGCGACAUACGAUAAUUAACAAAAUGUUAUAUUAUAAAUAAGAAAUAUUUAAAUAAUUAAACACCUACAUUUUACCACAAUAAUAAAGCAAAUGUUAAAAUAAGACACACAACCCAACAUUUAUGAAACAUAUGA